GCUGGCUGGCUGGCUGUGAGCAGGAGCUGUGCCUGGGACAGCAGGAGAUAAGAGAGAGGGAUGAGGAGCCCACUGAUGGCCCCAGAACCGGGAUGAGAAACAUGUGGCUGGGACUGAGCAAGGAUUAGGAUUAAGGCUGGAGAUCGGAGGCUGGCAACUGAGAAGUACAAACCUGUAAGACAGGAGAGACACUCUGAGCAAGUCAGAGCAACGCACUUGGCUGCUUCAGGCAGAUGAGAUGCAGAUCAAAAGCUCAAAAUUAUACCUUUGCUGGUUGCAAACUUUGGUUACUUCAGGCUGAAGAUGCUGCAAAAAUGACAUUUCUGUUUCUGGUUCACAGUUAAAGGGGAGGUACAAAUAGGAAUACCUAAAGGAGCUUAAAGUAGGGUAUUGGAAAACUGAGAAAUCCUAAAUAGCUAAUCACCUUGGAAAAAAAUAGGCAUUAGUUACUAGAAUGAUUUAUCUCUAUUUGGCAAUGAGUACUCUGGUUACUGAUUAUACUGUAAUGUGCUUAUGACACAGUAGUUCAAAGAGCAGAGGAGUGAUACAGAAAUAGGGAGACCACUGACUAAUAACAGUUUCAACUGCAUGGGAAUUAAAGCUGAGUGAAUAAACUAAAGAAAUGAUUAUCCAAGAAACAUGUGAAAUGAAGAAGAUCAAAGAGUGAAUUUAACAGUGAACAAGAGAUUAUAGGCAGUUGCAGUUAACAGGGUCUAGUUACUGAACAGCAGUAAGAAAACUAGUUUAGAUUGCCAGCUGGUGUAAAUUGUCACCAUUGGGUAGCACCAGUUUCUGCUAUCUAAGAAUCUUAUCCCUCACCAGGAACAUAAAAGAGGGUAAACCACUAUACUGUACGUCUAGCAGAUCUCCAUUAGUAAUAAAGUGAAGUCCCCAGUCAACAGUCACAGGAGAAAACCAAACAGGGAAUGGGGAAAUACCCACUUGGGCAUAAUGCAAGAGAAGGCCAUAAAGUGGAUCGUUUUGGAGAGCCUGAAGUUUGGAGGAAGAAAGAGAAGACACAGGGGCAUCCUGGAGGACAGCUACUAAGAUGUUAGAACAUUAAAAACCCCAUAUGCAGCCUACCAACCUCCUGGCCAGAGAGGAUCUGAAGGGUAAAGGAAAAGCAAAGAAAUAAGGAUGUGCAAACAGAAUAGGAAAGUACUUGGAUGACUGCCCUGUAAUGAAAACUGAUAUCACUGUAAGCCAAUGUAAUAAUUCAUCUCUGCUGAUAGAUCAGCUAACUGCUAAUAUCUUGUGAAUACAAUAGACGUUCUGGGCUCUGUAAGAUGAAUGUUUUUCUGCAUGCAAACUGCAACUAAAAGAG
rnacentral:lncRNA from 14 species